CAGCCGCCGCGGGAAUACGAAGGGGGCUAGCGUUGCUCGGAAUGACUGGGCGUAAGGGGCGCGUAGGCGGUUCACGCAGUCAGAUGUGAAAUUCCUGGGCUCAACCUGGGGGCUGCAUUUGAUACGCGUGGGCUAGAGUGGGGAAGAGGGUCGUGGAAUUCCCAGUGUAGAGGUGAAAUUCGUAGAUAUUGGGAAGAACACCGGUGGCGAAGGCGGCGACCUGGUCCUUGACUGACGCUGAGGCGCGAAAGCGUGGGGAGCAAACAGGAUUAGAUACCCCCGUAGUCCCUGUCUCUUAUAC
rnacentral:rRNA from 1 species